AUUGAACGCUGGCGGCAUGCCUUACACAUGCAAGUCGAACGGUAACAGGUCUUCGGAUGCUGACGAGUGGCGAACGGGUGAGUAAUACAUCGGAACGUGCCCGAUCGUGGGGGAUAACGCAGCGAAAGCUGUGCUAAUACCGCAUACGAUCUACGGAUGAAAGCGGGGGAUCGCAAGACCUCGCGCGGACGGAGCGGCCGAUGGCAGAUUAGGUAGUUGGUGGGAUAAAAGCUUACCAAGCCGACGAUCUGUAGCUGGUCUGAGGGGACGACCAGCCACACUGGGACUGAGACACGGCCCAGACUCCUACGGGAGGCAGCAGUGGGGAAUUUUGGACAAUGGGCGCAAGCCUGAUCCAGCCAUGCCGCGUGCAGGAUGAAGGUCUUCGGGUUGUAAACUGCUUUUGUACGGAACGAAAGAGUUCUCUCUAAUACAGGGGGCGAAUGACGGUACCGUAAGAAUAAGCACCGGCUAACUACGUGCCAGCCGCCGCAGUAACAC
rnacentral:rRNA from 1 species